rnacentral:lncRNA from 1 species
CUCAGAAGGAGCAAAAAGCAGAGCAGAAUCUAAUAGGCUGCUUGCAUACCUGUCACUGGAUUCGAUGAAAUCCUGUUGUUUAUUAUGCACAUGUCACAUACCUCAAAAAUCAAGUUCUUGGGAGAGGGAAUUUAAUUGGCCUAACUUGUAUCACCCGCCCUUGGGCCGGUCCCACCAAUUUGCAUGUAAUUGGGUACAGAAUUAAGGUAGUCCCCAAAGAAAAAAAUGGUGCUAUUAACAAAUAGAGAAGUAUAUGCUGGGUAGGCAAUAUCAACAGAUUUCGUCUAUGUUAACUUUGAGUUGGUUUGCUACUAGACUGCAGCCUUGUUUUAAUAUCAAUUUUUUUUUCUCGAAGAAUUUUACUCUUUCAACACCAAGGAAACUCAAGACAAUAGAAAACUACUGGACAAUAGCACCAAGUAAUGUAUUUGUGUGUGAAGACUCACUAAUUUAUGCAAUUAUACCUCAAUCUAUGCAGUAUCUUCCUAAAGAUUAUUAAAAAAUCAAAUGUAUUUUAAAGAAGUUUGCCUUUUAUUUAAAUAAAUACUGUCUAAACU